CUCAAAAUUCCUCUCCCUCAACGUCGACGGUUCUUUCCCGUUCCCCCCAUCACAAACCCUAACCCUAGAAAAGUUGGAUUGCGAUGGCCGAAUGGUGGAUGAGGGUCUUCUGCAUCGGCGACGGCGGAUUCAUCAUCGUGUCUGUUCCAAUGACUCUUCCUUCGUGGUAUCCAUUUCUCCAAAAACAAAACAAAAAAUAGCCUUCUCUAGUUCUUGAUGCUUGCGCUCUCUUUUGGCUCCGUCGUUUGGAUGUUCUUUUUCCAAGAAAACGUUGGACGUGGAAGAGCGGUGAUCUGAUAUGUCAUAUAUCUGAUGAAUCAGAGAAAAACUAUGCUGAUGCUUAUAGAAUAAUACUGGUGCUUUCUUGAAAUAUUAGGAAGAACUGAAAAUAUGUGCCAGAUCAUGUUCUUACCUGUAUUUCUAAAACCUUCUUCAAGGAAGGGCCAGGCCAGUGCCAAGCUAAUAGAUCCUAAGGGACCAUGGGAGGAUUCGAGGAGGUUGACCUUUGCGGACGGAUACACAAGGGUGCCGCACGACUUAGGCAAAACCAGCUAAGUCCGUGACAGAGCGCUAGCAGGGGAUGAAUUGCGUCCCAGAAGAUGCCUUCCUUUGAUUCUACAUGAGCAGAACAUGCACAUUGAAGAAGCCAAAGUCUUAAUGAGAAAGCCAAAGUCUUAAUGAGAAAGGCCGCACGAAGUGAUUUGGGCACAGAUGAUCUUUUGUCGCUUGCAAGUGAUGAUAGUGAAGAAGAGGGGAGAUUGAUGACAUGGAAUCCAGGCAUAUUCUGAUGGAAAGAUACUGCAGGAGAUUUUGACCUCAACGAUCAUGAUGGAAUUUGCUAAUUAGGAUAAUGUUGAUUUGCUUGGAAAGGAUAGUGAUGCAGAGACACAGCCAGACAGUAAAUUCACUUCACAUGGGCACGGUGGAAGAACAAAUGAUGAUAGCGUUGACAUGUGGAAUAGUAAUUAUGAGGAAGGUGGUGAUUGAUGAUCUUCGUGAUGUUAGUACUAAAGAAUAAAAAAGGGAGAAAAACAAAAAUAUAUCUAAUUGAGCAUACUUAUCACGUGUGUGUGUGUUGAUAUUUUGUCUAUGUUUGACUGACGAUCUUCAUGAUGUUAGUACUAAAGAAAAAAAGGAGGAGAAAAACAAAAAUAUAUCUAAUUGAGCAUACUUGUCACA